AACGAACGCUGGCGGCAGGCUUAACACAUGCAAGUCGAGCGCCCCGCAAGGGGGAGCGGCAGACGGGGUGAGUAACGCGUGGGAACAUACCCUUUGGUUCGGAAUAACUCAGGGAAACUUGAGCUAAUACCGGAUACGUCCGUAAGGAGAAAGAUUUAUCGCCAAAGGAUUGGCCCGCGUCCGAUUAGCUAGUUGGUGGGGUAAAGGCUCACCAAGGCGACGAUCCGUAACUGGUCUGAGAGGACGACCAGCCACACUGGGACUGAGACACGGCCCAGACUCCUACGGGAGGCAGCAGUGGGGAAUAUUGGACAAUGGGCGAAAGCCUGAUCCAGCAAUGCCGCGUGAGUGAUGAAGCUCGGUGUAAGACGUCUUUUACUUACGGGUACGGAGUAAUGACGGUACCGAGAGAA
rnacentral:rRNA from 1 species